GCCGUGUCACAAUGGCUCAUCUGAAAUGCCUGAGUGCAUCCUGGAUAUGUGAUGUGUUCGGUGUGAUAAACUUUCACCGUCUCUGACCCUAGUGGUCACACUCACCUGACCAAGGCUCUGUGCUUCCAACCGUCUUGAUUGGACAAUUUUGACAAUUUGACCUCAAAUCGGGUGGGAUUACCCGCUGAACUUAAGCAUAUCAAUAAGCGGAGGAAAAGAAACUAACAAGGAUUCCCCUAGUAACGGCGAGUGAAGAGGGAAAAGCUCAAAUUUUGAAUCUGGUGCCCUUGGGUAACAGAGUUGUAAUCUAGAGAAGUGUUUUCUGUGUCGGACCAUGCACAAGUCCCCUGGAAUGGGGUGUCAUAGAGGGUGAGAAUCCCGUACAUGGCAUGGACCCUGAUGCUCUGUGAUACACUCUCAACGAGUCGAGUUGUUUGGGAAUGCAGCUCAAAAUGGGUGGUGAAUUCCAUCUAAAGCUAAAUAUUGGCGAGAGACCGAUAGCGAACAAGUACCGUGAGGGAAAGAUGAAAAGCACUUUGGAAAGAGAGUGAAACAGUACGUGAAAUUGUUGAAAGGGAAGCGUUUGAAGUCAGUCAUGUUGUUUGGAAUUCAACCUGGCUUUUGCCUGGUGUACUUUCCAUAUGACAGGUCAGCAUCAGUUUCGAUCGAGGGAAAAAGGUGUGGGGAAUGUGGCUGUCUUUGGGCAGUGUUAUAGCCCCGCAUUGUAUACCUCGACUGGGACUGAGGAGUGCAGCGCGCCUAUUGGCCGGGGUUCGCGCCCCUCGGUACGCGCUU
rnacentral:rRNA from 1 species